AAACAACAACAGUGCAAUCAUUGCAUUUAAUCAGAAGCCUCAUCAGGGUGGGAUGAAGGCACUAAAUGUGGCUGGGAAUCAUCGAGAAUGAGGCAACGAUCCACUCAAUUGUGGAGCUGCAUAUGAGCAAGUGGUACUCAUACUGAGGUCAGUGGGCUGAGGCUCUUUGCUUGGUUGCUAGGCAACAAGGGACCUGCUAUUCUGUGGCCCAUCGAUAUCAAUAUGAAGCAUUAACCAAACCACCCUCCUGGUUCCACUUAUAUGAUGGCUGCAUGGAAAUGCUGGGUAACAGAAGAGGAUUAUGUAAUGUGGAAAAAGUGAAAGUUGGCACUGCACAGCAAGGCUUCAUCUUUGAAGCAGGAGUGAUUCAAUAGGAAAGAUCAUCUGCUGGUUGUGGUUCCUGCUUAAAUUAAAGAUGCUGGAGGAAGCAUGAGAAGUGGACCCAUGCCAAGUCUCUGUACCACAAGAUGAUUGGAACACCUGGAGUAUAAGUGGAGUAAAGAGUACAGAAGAAAUGCCUCUGGCGGAAAAUUUGAAGCAGUUUCUGUGCAAGACUGGAGCUCACACAUGAAGCCAACUCUGAGGAAGUACAAAGUGUUGUCCCCAAUCCUCGUAAUAUCCAGCUUCUUUGGCAGCUUGCUCUGCCCAAAAGAAGAUAGGAGACAGACAGACAGACAAACACACAGGCAUACACACAGAUGCGCAGAUGGACAGACAAUAAACUUUUCCUGGGGAUGUGAAGAAAGAAUCUAAGAAGUAAAGAUGGGACUCCGUUUCAGAUGAUGAAGCUCUAAAAUGACUUCAGUUGACGGGUAAAGCCCAUGACCUCUGGCCUCAGCAGGUUUCAGAGAACAGGCAGAUGGGUGAUAAUACUCAGAAAGGCAUCCAUUUAUCAGUGAGUUUUCCUUCUAAGCUACAUCCCACACAGCAGCUUUGUGAAUGCCUUCAUCCCACACCUCAGCAAUUUUGAACCAGAACAAGUUUCCGUAAAGGGUAAGGAUGAUCUGUAUAAAAUGGUCUGUGUAAGAAUGAUCUGCAUAAGAAAUGAAAAGAGCAGGUGUGUUCAAGGAGUCAGACCUCUUAGACUCUAAGCACCCCCCUCUCUCAUAAUACCUUGUAACUUUGGAGACAUUCUUUAAUCUGGUUAAACCUCCAUUUUCUUGGUUAUAGCAUGCAAAUAACUAAUUCCUGCUGGAUCUCUAUCUCGGUGGUUGUGAAGUUCAAGUGAAACUGAAAGCUGUGUGAAAACUAUAAAGGCCUACAAUAGAUAAGACAGCAUGAGACGAGUGUGGUGCUGAUAAUGUUGAUGGGUCACAGGCAUGGGUACUCAAGUUCCUGCCCAAAACCGCAUGAAGGAGUGGGUUAGGGGAGCCAGUCACCUCACAUCACUGGAGAACAGGCAAGGGUCUUUGGCCUCAGUUAUAGCACUUAGUAGGUACUCAAGCCCAAGGGAACAAGUUUUCAUGCAAGUGUCAACACAGCCACCAUGAAUUGCUCAGAGCAGGACAUAAAUCAGGUGAUUUAGCCCCUCCAAGCCUUGUUUACUCUUAGAGAAAAUGAGGAAAUCAGGCUAAAUGGCAGUGGAGUGACACAGUCUUGGAUUCGAAUCUCAUUUAUACUCCUGGCUAGUUGUUUGGCCUUGGACAGAUAGCUUCACUUUAAAGUUAUUUUUUAUUUCUAAAAUUAACAUACAAGGAAACUGAUUUUUUUGGUGUGCAGUUCUAUACAUUUUAGCACAUGUAUAGAUUCACGAAGGUACCACUACAAUUAGGAUAUAGAACGAUUCUAGCACCUCAUAAAACCCUCACAUGCUUUUCUUUUGUAAUCACACCCUAUCACCACCCAUAACCCC
rnacentral:lncRNA from 10 species